AUGUAGUCAAAAGGAUAAGACGCUAGUCUAAAAAACUGGAAAUGAGGGUUCGAAUCCCUCCG
rnacentral:tRNA from 1 species